GUGCCCGCUUUGGCAGCACAUUCACUAAAACUGGAACAAUAGAGAGAAAUUAGCGCGGGCCCUGUGCAAGGACGACAUGCAAAUUCAUGAAGUGUUCCUUAUUUUU
ensembl:snRNA U6 U6 spliceosomal RNA